CCAAAACCAGCUCUUCAUAAUGGCGCCAUCAUGUGGUGACGUUCUGAGUUACUCACUAAAGUGCAGAUUGUCAGGAAUUCAAAGACUGUUUAACAUUGUAUGUCAAUUUAUUUUUUAUAAGGGAAAAAUUACAGGUCAGCUAGGUCUCCAUUUGUUUUGAACCUAACAUUUAACAUUUAUUUUGAAUUACUGGCAAUUCACACUUUUAUGAAUAACCUCUAG